rnacentral:rRNA from 1 species
CUAUGCGCCUUGCCAGCCCGCUCAGGUGUGCCAGCAGCCGCGGUAAUACGUAGGUGGCAAGCGUUGUCCGGAUUUACUGGGUGUAAAGGGCGUGUAGCCGGGCUGACAAGUCAGAUGUGAAAUCCGGGGGCUCAACCCCCGAACUGCAUUUGAAACUGUUGGUCUUGAGUAUCGGAGAGGCAGGCGGAAUUCCUAGUGUAGCGGUGAAAUGCGUAGAUAUUAGGAGGAACACCAGUGGCGAAGGCGGCUUACUGGACUGUAAAUGACGCUGAGGCUCGAAAGCGUGGGGAGCAAACAGG